ensembl:lncRNA
CAAUGAAAAGAUUUCCAGGAAGCUGUAAGAAGCCAUCAGACCCAUGACCUUAAGAAGAAAGCCACAGGGAUGUGUGGGUAGGGGAGUAGGAAUUGGGAAAAAGAAGAUAGUCUCACUCAUGGGAGGGGCCAGAAGAGGGGCUAGUGUGAUGUCACUAAUGAGAGUAAAAUGAGGAAGGAGCUUGGCCCACCUAGGCCAUUCUCCUGUCUCCAAGCAGGUGAGUCUACACCCCUCUGGGCUACCACCCCUCACCUCAUGCUGUCUCCUGAAAAGGACUCUUCCCCUGGACUGAAACAGGCUUGGCACAUCACCUACAGGUCUCUGGGCAACCAGAAGCCCCUAAAAUGGUAGCAAACCCUGCAGGGGCUCAGGCCUUGAAGACACCAGGUGCAGAGAGGUGAGAAUAACACCUGGAGCUGCAAAUGAGGAUGAAGUGGAAGUCUGAACAGAAAUCAGUGGGAGCCUCGGGACCUCCUAAGUCACAGAACUCUUCACUGCCAUUUAUCGUGGGGGAGAAAUUGUGAUAAGCAGGGGGUGGGGGUGAGAUUAAAAUGCCAGCAUGCUCUUCAAUGGCAGGCACGGGCUCCCCAGCCAGCACUCUGCCCUAUCCUUUCCACAAAUUUCACUGCUAAACACAAAAUUUCCAAUCAACUUUUCAUAACCACUCAUGUGUUUGAGAAGAGAUAUUUUAGAUGUGCGCUGGGUAUGCUUCCAGGCGUUUUCCAUAUAGUAACUUUUCUCAUCCUCCCAAUAAGUCUGUGAAGUAAGUUUCUAUUUUGUUCCCAUUUUACAGAUGAGUACUUUAAAGAAGGAAGAAGCCAAGCCCAAGUACAGUUAGCCAUAGAACUGAGCUCCAUGCCUAUGCACUCUGCCUCUAGACGGAUGCAGGGCAGGUGAGCCCCAAAAUUGGGGCUUAGACCGGAAGAGUUCUUGGCUUCACUCAGGAAAUAAUUCAAGGGUGAGUCAAUGUCAGACGGCAACUUUUAUUGAAGUGGCUGUGUACGGCAGCAGCAGAGGUAUUGCUCCUUGCCGAGCAGGGCAACACCAUAGGCAGCAUGCCCAGAGUAGAAGCUCAGAGGCAGGGCUGCAGUCAUAGUUACAGUCCACUUUUUAUUAUAUGCAAAUUAUAAAGCAGAUUAUGCAGAAAUUUCUAGAAAAAGGAUGGUAACUUCCAGGUCAUUAGGUCAUUGCCAUGGGCAGGGAUGGUAACAUCCAGGUGUUGCCAUGGCAAUAGUAAACUGACAUGUCACACUGGUGGGUGUGUCUUAUGGAAAGGUGUUUCCGUCCCAUCCCUGUUUUAGCUAGUUCUCAAUUUGGCUUGGUAUCUGAGCCCUGCCUCCAGAGUCAAGUCCUGCCUCCUGCCUUAAGACCACCAUACUAUAUGCUAUACCACCAAGACAGAGAAUAAGUACAACAAACGUGAGUGGAGGACCCAAGGAAAAAAAAGAGAUAAUACUAAAAAAUAAUAAUAAUAAGACUUACAGAAAAACUCUAAUAAAUAAUCUAAAAGAGAUAGAAAAGAUAUUGCAUUCAUAAACUUGGAGUAGAAUGCUAUGAAAAAGGAAAAAUGAGAGAACCAGAAAGAGCUCUAGAAAAUUGCAAGUAAAAAUGUGAAAUAAAAUACACAACAAAUAUUGUAAAAGAGUGUCAAAGGAAUCUACAAAGUAGAUCAAAGUGGCAAAGACAUGGAAAAAAUAAGAAAAUAUGAUGAUUUAAAAGAUUUGGGUAGCUUUAAAGGAUUUGGUAGAUUGCGUUGAUUGCCUGAUUCUUCACUCAUCACAAUAUCCAAACCUUUUGCCAAGUGACCUUGCAGCUCCUCUCAUUAAAGAGGCCAUUGACUUUGGGUUUCCGUAGUCUGAUUUACUUUGG